AUUGAACGCUGGCGGCAGGCCUAACACAUGCAAGUCGAGCGGAUGAAGGGAGCUUGCUCCUGGAUUCAGCGGCGGACGGGUGAGUAAUGCCUAGGAAUCUGCCUGGUAGUGGGGGAUAACGUCCGGAAACGGGUGCUAAUACCGCAUACGUCCUGAGGGAGAAAGUGGGGGAUCUUCGGACCUCACGCUAUCAGAUGAGCCUAGGUCGGAUUAGCUAGUUGGUGGGGUAAAGGCCUACCAAGGCGACGAUCCGUAACUGGUCUGAGAGGAUGAUCAGUCACACUGGAACUGAGACACGGUCCAGACUCCUACGGGAGGCAGCAUUGGGGAAUAUUGGACAAUGGGCGAAAGCCUGAUCCAGCCAUGCCGCGUGUGUGAAGAAGGUCUUCGGAUUGUAAAGCACUUUAAGUUGGGAGGAAGGGCAGUAAGUUAAUACCUUGCUGUUUUGACGUUACCAACAGAAUAAGCACCGGCUAACUUCGUG
rnacentral:rRNA from 1 species